GCCAGCGUGGUAUAGUGGCUUGAGCAUUGGUCUAGGACUCUGGAGACCAGGGUUCGAAUUCCUGCUCAGCCA